CAGUUACUCCCCUUGUGUGUUGUGUCGCACUAUAUCACAUCCGAGGGAUUAUGUGCGACUGUAAGUGUGAGUGUGUGUGUGAUGAAAAAUGAAGACUUGCUGUCACAGAAGCAUCCAUGUAAACACCAAACAUGCUAACAUGAUUUAAAGCGCUGUAACUCGACCUCGCCUCUGCCUCUUCUUCCUCCCUUUCAGCGAGUGAACCGACAUGAGGCUCCAUCAACAGAUAUACAGAUACACCUCUGAACUGUCCACCGCUACUGUCAGCUCGCCCCUCAACACAUGCGUUCAACACACAUUCCUGCGGAUCUUGAAACCUGCAAGAGGGUCAGCGCACAUGUCUGGGCUUGUUCUUUGGCGACUUUCUGCACAGAGGUGACUACGGGAC